rnacentral:rRNA from 1 species
AACGCUGGUGGCAGGCCUAACACAUGCAAGUCGAGCGGCAUCGAGUGAGCGCAGUUUACUGAGUUCAUGUCGGCGAGCGGCGGACGGGUGAGUAAAGUCUGGGAAUCUGGCCGAAGGAGGGGGAUAACUGCUGGAAACGGCAGCUAAUACCGCAUGAAGUCGCGAGACCAAAGUGGGGGACCUUCUGGCCUCACGCCUUCGGAUGAGCCCAGAUGAGAUUAGCUGGUAGGUAAGGUAAAGGCUUACCUAGGCGACGAUCUCUAGCGGGUCUGAGAGGAUAGCCCGCCACACUGGAACUGAGACACGGUCCAGACUCCUACGGGAGGCAGCAGUGGGGAAUAUUGCACAAUGGGCGAAAGCCUGAUGCAGCCAUGCCACGUGUGUGAAGAAGGCCUUCGGGUUGUAAAGCACUUUCAGCGAGGAGGAAG